CAGCCGCCGCGGUAAUACGAAGGGUGCAAGCGUUAAUCGGAAUUACUGGGCGUAAAGCGUGCGUAGGUGGUGGUUUAAGUCCGUUGUGAAAGCCCUGGGCUCAACCUGGGAAUUGCAGUGGAUACUGGGUCACUAGAGUGUGGUAGAGGAUAGUGGAAUUUCCGGUGUAGCAGUGAAAUGCGUAGAGAUCGGAAGGAACAUCUGUGGCGAAGGCGACUAUCUGGGCCAACGCUGACACUGAGGCACGAAAGCGUGGGGAGCAAACAGGAUUAGAUACCCCCGUAGUCCCUGUCUCUUAUAC
rnacentral:rRNA from 1 species